rnacentral:rRNA from 2 species
CUUCACUCUGGGACAAGCCCUGGAAACGGGGUCUAAUACCGGAUAACACUCCUCAGGGCAUCUUGAGGGGUUAAAAGCUCCGGCGGUGAAGGAUGAGCCCGCGGCCUAUCAGCUUGUUGGUGGGGUGAUGGCCUACCAAGGCGACGACGGGUAGCCGGCCUGAGAGGGCGACCGGCCACACUGGGACUGAGACACGGCCCAGACUCCUACGGGAGGCAGCAGUGGGGAAUAUUGCACAAUGGGCGAAAGCCUGAUGCAGCGACGCCGCGUGAGGGAUGACGGCCUUCGGGUUGUAAACCUCUUUCAGCAGGGAAGAAGCGAAAGUGACGGUACCUGCAGAAGAAGCGCCGGCUAACUACGUGCCAGCAGCCGCGGUAAUACGUAGGGCGCAAGCGUUGUCCGGAAUUAUUGGGCGUAAAGAGCUCGUAGGCGGCUUGUCACGUCGGAUGUGAAAGCCCGGGGCUUAACCCCGGGUCUGCAUUCGAUACGGGCUAGCUAGAGUGUGGUAGGGGAGAUCGGAAUUCCUGGUGUAGCGGUGAAAUGCGCAGAUAUCAGGAGGAACACCGGUGGCGAAGGCGGAUCUCUGGGCCAUUACUGACG